rnacentral:rRNA from 1 species
UACGUAGGGUGCAAGCGUUAAUCGGAAUUACUGGGCGUAAAGCGUGCGCGGGCGGCUUUGCAAGACAGAUGUGAAAUCCCCGGGCUUAACCUGGGAACUGCAUUUGUGACUGCAAGGCUGGAGUGCGGCAGAGGGGGAUGGAAUUCCGCGUGUAGCAGUGAAAUGCGUAGAUAUGCGGAGGAACACCGAUGGCGAAGGCAAUCCCCUGGGCCUGCACUGACGCUCAUGCACGAAAGCGUGGGGAGCAAACAGG